UGUCUACACUCUUUGUGCUUCUUUCUUGCCAGCUUUUUCUCCUUUGCCCGCCCUUCCUUCCUUCCUUCCCUCCCUCCCCCCUUCCCUCCUUCCCUCUUUCCCUCCUUCCCCCCUUCCACCCUUCCCCCCUUCCCCCCUUCCCUCCUUCCUUCCUUCCUUCCUGCCUGCCUUCCUUCCUUCCUUCCUUCCUUCCUUCCUUCCUUCCUU
rnacentral:lncRNA from 10 species